rnacentral:rRNA from 1 species
GACGAACGCUGGCGGCGCGCUUCACACAUGCAAGUCGAACGAGAAGCCCGGGCUUGCCCGGGUGGACAGUGGCGAACGGGUGAGUAACACGUGAGCAACCUGCCCCGAAGACCGGGAUAACACCGGGAAACCGGUGCUAAUACCGGAUGUCUUCGCCGGACCGCAUGAUCCGGCGAGGAAAUGGUCUGCCGCUUCGGGAUGGGCUCGCGGCCUAUCAGCUUGUUGGUGGGGUAACGGCCCACCAAGGCGACGACGGGUAGCUGGUCUGAGAGGAUGUCCAGCCACACUGGGACUGAGACACGGCCCAGACUCCUACGGGAGGCAGCAGUGGGGAAUUUUGCGCAAUGGGCAAAAGCCUGACGCAGCGACGCCGCGUGCGGGAUGAAGGCCUUCGGGUUGUAAACCGCUUUCAGCAGGGACGAAAUUGACGGUACCUGUAGAAGAAGCCCCGGCCAACUACGUGCCAGCCGCCGCGGUAAAAC